rnacentral:rRNA from 1 species
UGGGGAAUCUUGGACAAUGGGCGCAAGCCUGAUCCAGCCAUGCCGCGUGGAUGAUGAAGGCCUUAGGGUUGUAAAAUCCUUUUCGCCGAGGACGAUAAUGACGGUACUCGGAGAAGAAGCUCCGGCUAACUUCGUGCCAGCAGCCGCGGUAAUACGAAGGGGGCUAGCGUUGUUCGGAUUUACUGGGCGUAAAGCGCGUGUAGGCGGGUCGUUAAGUUGGGGGUGAAAUCCCGAGGCUCAACCUCGGAACUGCCUUCAAAACUGGCGACCUGGACCUAAGUAGGGGCAAGUGGAAUUGCGAGUGUAGAGGUGAAAUUCGUAGAUAUUCGCAGGAACACCAGUGGCGAAGGCGACUUGCUGGACUUAUGGUGACGCUGAGACGCGAAAGCGUGGGAGCAAACAGGAUUAGAUACCCACGUAGUCCCUGAG